UACGUAGGGUGCAAGCGUUAAUCGGAAUUACUGGGCGUAAAGCGUGCGCAGGCGGCUUUGCAAGACAGAUGUGAAAUCCCCGGGCUUAACCUGGGAACUGCAUUUGUGACUGCAUGGCUGGAGUGCGGCAGAGGGGGAUGGAAUUCCGCGUGUAGCAGUGAAAUGCGUAGAUAUGCGGAGGAACACCGAUGGCGAAGGCAAUCCCCUGGGCCUGACCUGACGCUGAGGAGCGAAAGCGUGGGGAGCGAACAGG
rnacentral:rRNA from 1 species